rnacentral:rRNA from 1 species
AGUGAACGCUGGCGGCAGGCCUAACACAUGCAAGUCGAGCGAGUGGGGACGGGUGAGUAACACGUGGGUAACCUCCCAUCAGAGGGGAUAACACUUGGAAACAGGUGCUAAACCGCUACUGAUGGAUGAAACCGCGGUGCAUUAGCUAGUUGGUGAGGUAACGGCUCCCCAAGGACACGAUGCAUAGCCGACCUGUGAGGGUGCUCGUCCACAUUGAGACUGAUCACCGGCCCAUACUCCUACGGGAGGCAGCAGUAGUGAAUCGUCGGCAAUGGACGAAAGUCUGACCGAGCACCGCCGCGUGAGUGAAGAAGGUUUUCGUAUCUUAAACCUCUGUUGUUAUAGAAGCGGUAUCUAACCAGAAAGCCACGGCUAACUACGUGCCAGCAGCCGCGGUAAUUC